AUAAGAAAGGACACACAGCCUAGUCAGCUGGAGACAGGCAGAUUUCCACUGUCUAGCAUUAGCACUAGAGAAGGCAUCAGACCAUCAGCAAGGUCAGUCUUGUGCCCACAGCAGCAGAAGACCAUGAAAAUCGGUCGCCUACCAUGCCAUGGGGCAAAGUGGGACCAGAACCUCCUCAGUGUUUCUUACUAAUGAGUUGUGUGAAGGAAGUCCAAGAGCUCAAGGGAACAGAUUCCAGGGCAGAGGGGCGAUACUAGUGUUCCCAGCAGACAUAAAUCUCAUUUUAUACUGAAACAUUUAGGGGGGACCCUCCCUCAGUUUAUGAAGUAUGUGCUGAAGCUUUCUUGUCUUUUGGUGAAGCAAAGAGCCUUUUGCUGUGAGUAGCAUGUACACAGUGCAAGGUCACUGAUUUGCUGGACAACCUUUUAAAUAUUUAGCAUGUCUUAAUUUUCUGUUUCUUUACAAGGUCCUCAGAUCACCAGGCCCAUCACUGACUUUCAAUAUCUAACUCUUCUUCUGGACGUAGAAAAGAGAUAAAUAUCUCCAAGAAAAAUGCACACCUCAAAGCAGUCCCAGGCAUGCAGAUAUCUUUCAGAGGUUUGGUAGAGAUGAUGACUACAUCUGGGUCAUAAGUGGCAAAACAGCAUCACUCUACAGUGCUUUCAAAGAUUCAAAUCAAAAAAGUAGUGUGGAUUGAUGUAUUUCUUCUCUCAUAAAGCUCUAUCAAAGUAGUAAGAAUAACAAAAGCCUUAAGAAGUGCUAUUUCUUACCUUCUUCCACUCAUCUGUUGAGAUUGCUCGGAGCAGAUUUUCUGGCACCAGCUCCUUCAGGAUUUUGGGGAUGACUGCCAACUGUGUGCGGUCAUUGUUAAAGCGCACUUUAUAAAUCAACCCUGCCAGCUGGACAGCUUCAUCCUUGGAACACUUGUGGUAGCCUCUGAGGUACUUUGGCAACUCCUGGAAGAGACACGCUCUGAAUCCAGAUAGAAAGGGCUGAAGCAAACACUGACUUAUGCACAAUAAAACUGUGAGGUCAGGGUGUGGGUCUCACCAAGCACAUUCCAAGAACUUUAGGCUCCUUCUGGAGUUUCUCCACACAGUCAUGGAGGAAAAUGGGCAUGUCCAAGGAGCAAUUAGAUUAAGAAGCUGUGCUCUGUACAUAACUGUACAGCUAAGGUAUGAACGUUAGCACAUAAAUCUGCUUUGGAGUCUGAACUGUGCUCCCCAGUGAGUGAGAGGGUAAUACUCCCAGGCUUACUUUUUCAGAAGUAUUUCUUGGCUUAUUGCUGAUACAUUUACACUUUAGGGAGCUGGUUACCUGGUGGUAAUGAAAAAUUGAAUCAGCUUUCAGGUCUUUCCCAGGAGUUACGUUCAACCACAGCUUUCUCAUGAAGUACACUUCAUAAGCCACAGACAUAGCAGCACCUAGGGAAACAACAUCUUGUCAUUGUCUUCUGUGUCACUGCAAAGUUCCACAGUGAGUGGAACUCCAGUUGUGAGCUUCUUUGGAAAUACAGUUCUGUUUUUAAUAACAACAAAAUUACAAACAACAACAACAAAAACAGCACAGAAAAGGACAUUUUAGAUGGCCAAGGAAUUGUGACUAGUUGUCAGUUCCUGGACACCCAUCAUGCAUCUGAGGCGCAGCAUUAGACUCUUCAGAGGUGGAUGAACAAUUGAGGAUCCCAACAAUAUGAGUGUGUAUUCCUUGCUGCUCGUGACAGCUAUUUGCUGAUGUUCAGCACACUUGAAUUCUGUUACAGUGAUGCUGGUACAUUCCCCAGUGGAUGUGUUUACAGAAAUGAACUGUGAUUUAGUGCACUGACAUCUUUAUGCUGUGUUUUUCAGAGAUCCUAACAGCUGCAUCAGGUGUGGAGAGAGGAGGGAAGCUAGAAAGUCUUAGAUACCUAGUGCUUCUGGAAGUUGAACCUCACUGUCCUGAAAUAAGCAAAGGUCAGGGUCAACAAGUAUGAAAUUUGAGGGGAGCUUGAGUUUGCUGUGGAUUUCAAAAUGUAAGUUAUGCCUGGGGGUGAAGUGGAAAGAAUUGCUGUCAUUACUGUUAUAUUUUUUCAUGCUAAAAACACAUUCCUCUAGCAGUACAACUUGUGGUCUGGUUAUCACCAGGUAGUAAUGCAGACAGCAAUUUUCUAAUGACCCAAGGAAUGGGAAUGACACUGUAAAGAACCUAUUUACAUGUAUUGGCUGAUCCCUGAUCUGGCAAUGUAUGAGCCUUGAAUCAUAAGCAGGAUCAGUCUAUCUAACUUGCAUACAUCCAGAUGUGUGUUUUGGAUGCAUUAAGUCAAAGAAUAAUUUGUACCAAUUUAAAAUUUAUGCAGAGAUCCUCAGACAAGAUAUUCUGGUGUUUCUGACAGCCAGUGGCUGGCUGCAUGAGGUUACUGGGUCUUAAUGCUGGUGCAGGCAGGAACUGUGUAUGUACAAACAAAAAUGGUAAGACAAACUUGUCACACAUUUGGCAAGAUGGGAUAAAUCCUACUGGGUAAAUUUGCUGCUUUUCCAGUUCAACACAUCAUUUCACACAGGUUCUUGUCAUGCUGGCACUCCCCUUACCAUCUUUCACUGGUUUAUUCCUCCUGUUCCAAUCUGUCACCUGCCUUAGCGAGUCAAAGAAAUAGUCUGCUUCGUUCUGACUGAUCACCUGGAAGACGCCAAGCAACGAAGGGCAGAAAAAGAUUAGUAGAUUGUAUAAAAUACUAUCUGUGCCCGUAUACGCAAGUAUUUUCUUUCCCUUUCUACAGCAAGACAGCACAAUUACAGCAGGAAAGACAGAGGCAAGGGGAAACAAGUGGAGAAACAGGAGAAGGAGGAGGGCUUACAUGAUUUCCGUUUCAUAUGGGAAGGUUUAUUCCAUUUUCUGUUGCUUUUUUCCUUCCAACCUCCUUACUGAAGUCAAGCUGAAGAUGCCUACCUUAUCCUAGUGAUCUCAUAAUAAAAUAUUGGCAGAUACUGGGUUCUUCUUCUAAGGAACACAGCAUAUCAGAAACUCCCUGUGCUUGGACUCAGUAUUGCUUUUGCCGUGAUCACAGUCUUCAAACAGUUCCAGAGAGAAGAGACCUCAGCAAAACAGCCUACCCAAACUUCAGGGAAGGCAAGUUUUGAGAAACUAGUGAGCAAUGACUGGUGCUGGUCAGCCACUGCUUUCCCUAAGACUAGUGAGUACUGCAGAUAUACAUUGCAUCUCUUGGGCAAAGCCUGAGUUCAGAAAGGUUGAACCCAGCAGCAUGCAACAUGCAGUUUGCUACCAUCCUAGCAGCUGCAAGAAAAGCUAUGUCCUCUGCCUUUAGUACCACGUGUGUACCAGUAGACUGAAAGAAACUCUGCAUCUCCAUCCAGCUUCUUCAGGAGACUCAAGUGUCAAGUGCUAGAAUUUCUAGACUAGGUUGUAUUCCUUCAGCAAGACAGAAGCAGUAAUGACUGGCUCUGUUGCUUCAUUUCAUAUAUGAUUGCUGAGGUGGCCUGAGGGAGAAGUAAGAGAGGAAGAGGGAGCCUGGCUACCCUGCUAUAGCUGAGAAAAGUUACCUUGUCUGCAAUCUUGACAAAGAGGCUGAAGCCUUCCCAGGAGCUCAGCUGUAAUUUGGAAGCGAUGUUCUGACACAGAGUCCGGAUUUUGGUAUUUGUUCCCACAUCAAAUGUCUGUGAGAUAACAAGACUUCAGUUACACAGAGGAGAGGAACAAGUAAGAAGACUGAAUAUCUUGAAACCUGUUCCUGAUUAAAUACAUCAUGGCUGGGAAAAUGGUCAAGGCCAGGAAAACAACUCAUCAUUGUCUAAGAAGUAGCACUGCCAUAUGGUCAUGUGAAGCGGCUUCCACUCCCAGCAACAUAGAAAUGAUGGCCCUUGCAUUGCACCGAAUUGCACCCAUCAUGCAGAGCUGCAGAGCUGCAGAGCUUGGGAAGCACCACGGGCUGGACGUGCCGUGGUGUGAACAACCAUUGAAGUCUCAGGGCUUGGUUUAUUUGUGUUUCUUCGAAGAAAAGAAACUGACUGUAUUGAUCUUCUUUCCCCAGCAGGGAUCUGCCCAUGGAUAGCCCAGCUCUGGGAACUGAGUGAUUAUGUGUAAUGCUCAACUUUUUUUGAAAUGUUGCUAACACUGAAAGAAAGGAGUGAAACUGUGACAUGGACCUCUCUUAGUGGUUCAGCGUCCCUAGGGCAAUGAAAAGCAAUGACCAUUUCAAAGAAAAAGAUGUACAGAGAGAAAGGAAAGUAUGAGUAUUGCUGUUUUGGUCCAUGUGAUUUUCUGGCACCCGAUUCAUGAUGUUUGAACAUUUGGGGUUGGCUGUAUCUAGGACUGUGUACCUCAUCACUGUCUGAAUCCUCCGACUGCACUCCAUGGCCAGUGGCUCUUUCUUACGCGUCUCCACGAACUUCUGGGCGUGUUUUAGCAGUGACUUGCUGGGUGGGAACAGGCCGGUGCAGAGCCAAAGAAGCUGCCAGCCCUUGGUCACACUGUACCUGUGAACACAAAGCAAAUGGUUCUGCUGGAGCUGCACGUAAUUCUUCCUUUGAGCACACACCAGCUUUAGGGAAGAGAAACACACUCCCAUCAUGGCACAUGGUGGCAUUCAGCAGAGAGCUGCAAAUCAACAGAGCCUCCACACAGGAGCUGACAGCCAUUCUCUGUGCAACAACCACAGCCCGAAUGUGAAGGCUGCAUUAGGACAAAAAAAGGCUUCAGUAACACCUUUCUGGCCAUAGUGCACAGAGAUGAACAAUGAAUGCUGAUGGGAGCAGCUGAAGGGAGAUGAAUAAUGGUCCCACUCCAUGGCCUAGCAGUGCCAGUCAGUGGUUCUGAGUGCUCUGAAAAGGUGAGCCCCAGAGAGGGUAGCAGCCCAUUUGCAUACCCUUCUGUCUGUCCCCACCCUACCACAGGUGUAGCAGAGUUUCCUGAUCACCACCUGCACUUAAGAACCCUGGGGCCUAUAGAAGCAGGCUGUUUGAACUUUGGUGAGUACCUGUUUCUGUUCUCAGUCAGCUGCUUCAUGAUCUGACAGUAAAUUUCAUCCUGCAGGACCUCUUCCUGAAUAGCUGCCACGAAUAUCUGGUCAGUGACUUCCACAGAAGAGUGUGCCUGUUUUGAUGGGUAGUCCCCCAUGAAUUUCAUGAUGGGUAAAUGCUCUGUUAAGGACAAAAGCAGGUCAUUUUUGAAAGAUAAAUGGGAAGUCUUACUUGGAUCCUAAUAUGUUAAGCUACUCUGCUGAGGUGUGAGUGGGAAAUACUGAGAGGAAGGUCUGGAAUAUAUUCUGUGAUCGUCCCCUUUCCUUGAGCAGCAGUUACUGCUUGUUCUGGGUAUAUAUAGUAAAUCCCACUCACCCCUAUAGCCCCGUUCUCAGUUAAGUAGGUUGUCACCAGUUGUGGAGUAUUGGGAGGAAUAGAAACUCUGUAGACAAGGGAAAAAUGUUAAGUCAUGCAGAGCUGACUUAAUUCAAACACACCAUCCCUCCUCUGAUUAAUGUAAGUGAACCACAAGUAAUGUGGAUGUGGUAUUAUCUCAGUGGAGGUGAGUUUAGUGGAAGCAGCUCUUUCCACCAAGAGUUCUCGGGUCCCAAAAAGAAAAGUGAAAGGAUAUCAAUGAAGGCCUGACAAGCCAGGUCCCGAAGAUCAGGGUCUGUGCAUGCUUUCUUCAGCAAGGGCUGCUUUAAGGGUUCCUUAGAGUGUGCCCACAGCUGAUUGCGUCCACGAGAUUUCUGGAGAACAGCUUUGCUAAUGGAUUCCUUCUCAGGAGUCCUGAAUGAAGACAAGUGCAGGCAACACAAAAUUACUGGAUCAGUAUUGCUGUGAACAUAGAUGAUGAUCAAAAAGAGAGAUCUCUAUGCAUUCUUUCCCAAGACAGUGUUUUCAUAUUUGCUUUGAUUAUGCAGGUCAGCAAAAAGCAGGAAAAUGUAGCUUCUUUAAGAUCCAGAAAGGAGGAUGGUGCAAAAAGAAGUUUUUCUCCCUCAGAUGUUGUGUAAAUGGUAAGUUCUAGCUAGUGUGUGCUGAAGAAUGGAUGAGAAGUAAGCACAGGGCCUGCUGGAAAGAAAAUAAAAAGUUCCAGCUGGGAUUCUUCUACCUGUCCCUCUGUAUUUCUGCAGACAAAAGAUAGAAGCAGGCCAUAUGACUGAAUCUCUGUAUGUCCAAAGUUACACUUCAUUACAGGGAACAAAGAGAAGAAACCCAGUCAGGAACUGAUUACAUCCUAGUUGUUCUUCAGUGAUCCUUAAGCCUAGAACUUUCCUAGGGCCCACGCUGCACAGGGAGCUUCACCUGAAGUGUUCAUAGGAGAAUUCCUCCAGGGUGUAAGGCUUCACUUUGAGAUCCUCUUCAUCAGGCUGAUCCAUGUAGGAGUUCUGUGAAGCUGUCCUCCUCUGGUCUGGAGACAUCAUCAGCAAACUCUGAAAGGACACAUGUACAGAUGUCACGUGGACAUGUCACGUGGCGUAUUAAAAUUGCACCUACUUAACACUGGUGUGGGGCUUUUUGCCCAGUUCUUCAGUUUAUAACUUGUUAGCACAGUAGCCAAUAUGCUGAGUCUCCAAAACUGAAGAAAAAAUUGUUAACAAACAGUGAUCAAUGGGAAACCUUGUGUUGAAUCCCUGGAAGACCAUGUUCUUUUAAAGCACCCUGCUGUACUUUGCAGGAAAGCUUUUCUGCAAGAAAAUUCAACUGCACACCUAUUAAUUGCUACAAGUUCCAUGUACUGAACCCUCUAAUAGUGAAUGUACUAUUAUUUUGAAGGUCAUUGCUUUUGUGUAAAUGCAGUCUUCUCCUUAGAGUUUGGGCUAGGUUUAGUUUUGUUUUCAGAGAUGACAGAAUAAAAUGCUUUGUUUCACUGGAAGAUACAGAACUUGUCUGAAUUCAAAAGAAUGAUUAAUUUCCAUUUAUAAAUUUAAUCCUAUUUAACACUUAUCUUCCAGUCUCUUGAAAGACUGUACAGCUUUCUUACCAGCACUUGACUAGAGGGUUUUGUGAGAGAAGGAACAAUGUAGAUCUCUUCCAAAAAUACAUUCCCUGUUUUGCCUGUCCUCUCAUUCUGGGCAUAAAUCCAACCAGAGCUUGCAUCUAGUCUUUUAUCCUCGGUCAAGAUUAGCAAGUCUCCCUUCUUGAAGGACAGGAUGGCAGGAUCUUCUGAAAAAACAGAAUAAGGGAGUACUGUUCAGGCUUGACAGUCCAAGAAAUGUAAAGGCAUUUCAACAUGAAAGACAAGAGAAUUGUAUUUUGAAGGUCUGAAUUCAAUUAGCAACAGAAAGUGAUUUGUGUAAAUACAGCUAAUCGUCCAAUAACACUUCAUAGAAAUCACUUAAAUGUUCUCUGCCAGACUGAUUUUGGUUCCAGUGAAGGCAAAAGUAGAACUCCAUCUGAAUCAAAUGGAUACAGAAUUUCUGUCUAGAGCUGGCAGUAGAGCAUGGAAAGAAAUUCCAGUUUACCACCUGUGAAAGUUUUCUGGAAAGUAUUUCCAGGGAACCCAACUCCAGCUUCCUACUAUAAGCAGGCUGAGUUGUUGGCCACCUAUCUAAACAAAAUAUACACGAAAGUAGACUAAUCUGUAAGUGAAGGUCUUGAAUCACCUUGCCUUACACUUGGCAUAACUGUGCUGAUCACUGUGCGUUCAUCCUGGAGCAGAACAAGUCUUGCUCAAGUUCUCCCACUUCUCUGAGCUCUUCCAAAGAAGUGCUGUGGGUUCUCUCAAGGUUUCUUCCCUACUCUGUUGAAAAGUUCUAAAGCUUACCUUGGGGUCUUUUCUCAUUCAUUGCCACAGCAAAUCGUGAUCUCUUCUUUAGUCCUUCCAGAAACAUGACCACCAGUUCAGCAAUGACAAUGCUGUUUACAGAUGUCAGAACAAACUCCUCGGCACGAAGUGUGAUGAGAGUGCAACUCUGUCCAAACGAUUUCACUGCCCUAUGUAUUAUUGAAUAGUUAGUUACCAGAGUGUCUGGAAAACUUACAGAGCCAUCUGCAAUCACAGCCAAGGAACCUACACCGCCUUGUAGUAGACAACUGCCUUAGAGUGUGCAUUGGUAGAUCCUAAUUUGUCUUCUCAUGAUUUGGUAGGUCUGAAGAACUGACAUGCUUCAGGUUCUUUGGACUCCAGCAUAUUAUGUACAAAAAUGCUUCAGUAUAGAUAGCAGAACACCUUUCUUUUGGAUUAACUGGGCAACUAAUUAAAUAUGUUUUCAUCCUUGCAGAGGUAUUCUUUUUGUAUGUAAGACCCUAAGCUCUAAAUGAUCUGAUGCAAGGAUGUGUGCCCUGAGUGAGCCAAUGAUUACACCUUUUUUCUCUAAGCUAUUCUGUUCGGCUCCAUCACACUUGAGAAUUAUAGGAACUCCCCACAUGUACAGCUGUUGAUGGCUUAACUGUGCUAUUUGGGUCAUUCUUGUCUCACACAUCUGUGUUUCCUUACACCUUUCCAGUUGAGCAGGGUCCUUCCACUGAUCAGGAAUAUUUGGCCAUUUCAGUAUUUCCUUUACAGGCUGCUAGAACGUGUCCUUUUUUUUUCCCCAGACUUAGGCUAAACCACCAUUCCAGGCUCAGAUCAAAUCACUUAGGGGGACGGCAGAGAAAGUACACCUCCCUCCUACAUGGAGACCCCUUUCUGAAGGUGGGCAGGGCUGCCUUCUUCAGAUCUUGUAUUUCUGUGCACUCACCGAUUGGUGUGGAUGCCAGUUAUCUCUGGGAAGGUCAGAUCAAGGAUCUGCUUUUCUGACUCAUCCAAGAAGCAGAUACCUUUCCAAUUUACAGCAAGUAUAAAGUGGUUCUUGGGCAAGCUGGGACCUGGAAAUGCAGAGAAAACUACUCAAUGCUAUACAAGUCCUUCUCUGUUGAUUUUAUAGUUGUCCUCUACUCCUAGGCUGAAGACAUUACCUGAAAACUUAGUGACUUCAAAGAAUCUGGAAAAAAGCAAAGGCCACUGAAAGCGAGCAAAAUCUACAAGCUGUUCUUUCACAGUCUGACGGGAAAGACGAUCCUGCGUGUAUGGGGCCUGCAAUAGAAAAAGGCAAAUUUUUCUCAGUAAAUUCUGAGUUACAUAAUCUGCAGACAAUAAAGAGCAAGUUCAUUCCACAGGUUCCCAACAGCCCUUUGCUAUCAUUGAUGUCAAGAGUACCUGGUGAAAUUCAAAAAGGGAACAGUCUCCAGGGGACCAAGCCACAAGCAGCUAAGGCUGCCCAUGGGCACGUGGAUUUCAGGUUUCCCUCAAAACCCCACUGAUGGGUUAAAAGUAUAACACGUUCUGGGUGCCAUGAAAAUUACUCAGGUAACCUAUUUGCAGACCAAAAUUAUUCUCCAUCCAGUGCCCAUUCUGACUCAAAUGUCAGAUGGGAAAUAACCUUAAAAAAGAGAUUUAACUGUACUUUGUUCUGGCUCCCUGUUGAGCCCUAUAUGUAAGAAUGAGUGGAAAGAUUCUCCUCUCUCCCAGUCCUAACUAUUUAGGAUAGACAAACAGAUGUUUUUCCUUCUUCCCUCAAUAGAAUAGAAAUGAUGAAAGAUGCAGAAGCUGGUGCUUGAGAGUAGUUACCCAGAAGUGCCAGACAAACCUCUUACCUUAGCAUGUGCGUAGGUUAUAAGGCUCACCCACUUUUCCAGGGGCUUGGAUUUCAGCUGUUUCACUGGGAUGCAGUCAUGGAGCGCUUUCUGCACAAGUUCAUUGUGGAUAGAAUCUCCAAACUGGAUGUAACAAUAUUUUGCACCGAUCUCCACCAAAUCCUCCUCCUGAAAUAAUUAAUUCAUUAAAAGAGGCCUAGAAAAAUGUCACAAAGUCCAGCUAGCUUUGUUCAGCCUCGAAGGCACUUUAGGAACUGUUUUUUUCCCCCACCUUUUUCUGGAUAACUCUUGGCAGCCAUACAGCAUAAGGAGAGAUUAACUUCAUACAAUCAUAGCAUCAAAGAGAUUAUUAACAAAGAUAUUUCAAAGGGACACAAAUUGUUCCUCUGAACAUGCCUCCAGUUGCCACAUGAACUGAGCUACAAAAAAAAAUCUAUUACAGCGGCCAGCGUGACAGCUGGCAUAAUCACCUUGACAAGAAUUGUCCAUUAGACGGAAAGAGUUGUUCACAGCCAUUAGAAACUUUGUUCAUCCUCUCGCUUUCUAAUGUUCGUUCAGUUUUGUCUCUUUAGGAGGAUGAACAAGGAGACCCACCUUCUCACAACGAUAUUCUCCAAACCGGAUGCCACGAAUGACUUGAUGGUAAAUGAGAUCUGUGCUGAUGGGAUCCUCCUGGGAGUUGUGCCAGGGGGUGAAGAUUUCCUUCCUAAAGUAAAGCCUCCAAGGUGCAUUGCGUUCAUGCGUGCCCUUCUCCUUUGCUAGCUGCUCACAUUGAGAGAUGGCAUCUAGGACAUGAUCUCGUCCCCCACCCAGUGACCAGACCUAGAAGAAAGGGACACUGCAUUUACUGGCAUAUCUACUUUGCAUCUGAACAAAGGACAACAAGCCCAAACCUCCUUGGUCUCCUGACAGAAAAAAAAAAAGACGAAAAUCUCUGAAAAGAUUCCCAAUUUUCCUGUAACAGUUGUGGAAGAUCCUUUGCUCACAGCUUGGUAGUGAUGCACAAAUGCUAGCCCUGGACUCCUGACUAGAAGUGUUGGAACACUUGGGUGCCAGCUUGCUGCAGCCAGGCCUGCCAGAGGUUAGUUGUGUUACUGUUUCACUGGAAAGCAGAAAUGUCACAAGUUCAGCAAGCCCUGAGAUGCCCCCGAGUCCUCCAUGGACCCGGUUUUUAACCUGUCCGUAGCCAGAUGUUCUGGACAGCAGAAAGCCACAUUGAGAUAAAGACUGAGGAAGAAAGAACGGGAUCAGAAAACAGUGCCAGGAGAAUAGGCAGAUAACAGGUGCAGAAUAGCAGCCAGCAGUUUGCUGAUGUCCCAGUGCUCAGAGUCUGAGAACAUGAGGAUCUUCAUAGCCGAGCGGAUGUGGGCAUAUUCCUUUGCGUCAUUCCGGCCAUCACAAGAUGUGCAGUUGCCCUGCAAGACACCACACUCAACAAGUAUACGUACUUGAUUAGCUUUCUCCCUGGCAUUCAUCCGAAAUCUAAGUGCCUGUGAAAGCAGGAGAUAUUUCCUACCUGCUUUAAGAUGUCCUUUAUGUUUCUUAAGGCUGACCUGGAUGGAAGGCUUUGAACUGCCACAAGCUGCUGCUGUGGUAGAUGGGUGGACGUUACAAUAAGUCUCCAAAACAGAGACUCACAGCACUUUCGAUGUUACUGCUUGUGGUACUCUAAGGAAAGGACUGCUGAUACUCGGUAACUACCCAUCUGCAGCUCCUAUUGAUGGUACUUGUUUGCUGGAAGAAGCAAAUGGCAAAGGGAUAAUGGAGAAGGAAGUAGAGAUUGUUACCAUAGUGAGAUAAGUGUACUCUGAAGCAGUUCCCAGAUUCAGCAUCUUUUUCUGCUCCAGAUUCAUCCCCAUUAGCAUGCAAUAGAAGAUAUGAUAGUUCCUCUCCUCUGGAGCCUGGAAAGAAAGGAAUAGGCCAAUAUAGCCUUGUUAGUACAGGCUUGUAACACAGGAGCAGGCAAAAUGGACAUCUGCAAGUGGCCUCACCUGCCGGCAAACACGUGACUUUUCCAGAAGAAACUGUUCUAUCUGGGCUCCUUCUAUCACACCACUGCGGUUGAAGCGGAUAUCAAUGUAUUUCCCAAAGCGACUUGAAUUAUCAUUUCGAACUGUUUUGGCAUUUCCAAAAGCUGAUUGGCAAAGGGCAAAGAAAGUUGUAGCAUAACCCACCUUGCCUUCAUCAUCCUCCAACAAGAUCCGUCCUGAGUCAGAGUCUUUCACAACUGCCCCAAUAGGGACAUUAAAUUCACUGCUCGUCUGAGUUUCCAGCCACACAUGAUCACCCUGGGGGGGAAGAAAAGUCAUUGUCAGGUUCAGUUUGGCUGCAAUUGUGUGAUGGGAAAGAUAACAAAAAGCCUCUGUGCCUGAGAUCCCUGGGGUUCCAUAGUGAAAUCGGAGGUCAUAGAAAAUGGCAGGUACUUCUAUGGCAGGUAUUUAUAUAGACUGGAAAAAGAAGAACUUGAGAGCAGCCCUGCAGAGAAGGAUUUGGGACUCCUGCUGAACAAGAAGAUGGACAUGAGCCAGCAGGGCAUGCUUGCAGCCUGGAAAGCCAACAAUGUCCCGGGCUGCAUUAAGAAAGGGGGGGCCAGCAGGGAGAGGGAAGUGAUUGGCCCCCUCUAUUCUGCUCUUGUGAGACCCUACCUGGAACACUGCAUGCAAGCCUGGGGCCCCCAGCACAAGAAGGAUGUGGAGUUCUUGGAACUGGUCCAGAAGAGGCCCACUAAGAUGAUCAGAGAGCUGGAGCACCUCUCCUAUGAAGAAAGGUUGUGGGAACUGGGCUUGUUUAGCUUGGAGAAGAGAAGGCUCUGGGGAGACCUCGUUGCGGCCUUCCAGUACUUGAAGGGAGCAUAUAAACAGGAGGGGGAAUGCCUGUUUAUAUGUGUUGGUAGUGAUAGGACAAGGGGGAAUGGUUUUAAACUAAGACAGGGGAGAUUUAGGUUAGAUAUUAGGAGAAAGUUUUUUCCCUCAGAGGGUGGUGAGGCACUGGAACAGGUUGCCCAGAGAGGUUGUGGAUGCCCCAUCACUGGAGACAUUCAAAGCCAGGCUGGAUACAGCUCUGGGCAGCCUGCUCUAGUGGUUGACAACCCUGCCGAGCAGGGAGGUUGAAAGUAGAUGAUCUUUAAGAUCCUUUUUAACCCAGACUAUUCUAUGAUUCCCUGACUACUCCCAACUUGUUAUUUCCUACUUUACUGCUUUGUCUGCAGAGACCUUUAUUUACCGUGUUGUUAUUAGUCAGAUUAAAGUUGUCAUUACUUCUUUCUAUUUAGUCAGUUGUAAAGAGCCAUUAAAUUUGUUUAACAAGCCAGAUAAGUGAAACAAUGAGAACCUUUUGUCUUAUACUGGCAUGUGCCUGCUCCUUCCAGAGAAGAUCCCAGUGAAAGCACACAGUGUAAAAAGAUCUAAAAGCUGUACAUCACAUAAAAGAAGGGAAAAAGGGACACAAUACCAUUAAGAACACAAUUCUUAGGAGCGCUAAGAGAACAUGGAGUCUGUCUGCAAAAGAGCUGUGAAGAAAGAAAAUGUUUGUUUAUGUUUUAUGUAUGCUGCUUUUCAGAAAAAAAAAAAGAAAAAAGAAAAAAAAAAAAGCCUUUUU